rnacentral:rRNA from 1 species
AUACGGAGGGUGCAAGCGUUGUUCGGAAUUACUGGGCGUAAAGCGCGUGCGGGCGGUAAGGUAAGUCAGAUGUGAAAGCCCCGGGCUCGACCCGGGAAGUGCAUUUGAUACUGCCUUUCUUGAGUAUGGGAGAGGAGAGUGGAAUUCCCAGUGUAGAGGUGAAAUUCGUAGAUAUUGGGAGGAACACCCGUGGCGAAGGCGACUCUCUGGACCAAUACUGACGCUGAGACGCGAAAGCGUGGGGAGCGAACAGGAUUAGAUACCCGAGUAGUCC